rnacentral:rRNA from 1 species
UAAUCACUUGUCUCUUAAAUGGGGACCUGUAUGAAUGGCUUUUCACUCUUUCACUGUCUCUCUUCCCUCCCUCCUAAUCUUCUAAUCACGUGAAGAAGCGUGAACAAAUAAGAAAGACGAGAAGACCCUGUCGAGCUUAAGCUAACCCUGAAACGUCGUCUACCUUUUUUCUUAGAAAGAGGUAAAUUUCAGAUAAAGUUUUGGUUGGGGCAACCGUGGAGAAAAAGAAUCCUCCAGUUAGUUAGGAAGAAAACCUUUCACCUAAAAAAUUUAGCGACCCAGUUACUCUGGUAAACGGAAAAAGUUACCGCAGGGAUAACAGCGUUAUCUUCUCUAAGAGCCCAUAUUGACGAGAAGGAUUGCGACCUCGAUGUUGGAUUGGGGUAACC